CAUACAAGGGUCAUUGCACCAUUCUUUCCUUUUCCUUUUACAUGUGAGAAAGCUUUAUCUCGGUUUUAAGGGUUUGCCAUUAUAAGCAGACACAUAGCACAUGCUAACAACCACUAUGAUUUCGGCGGUACACAAAAACCUUAACAGAGAAUUCCUUUUCUAGUUUUAUUUUGCAGAUGUGAUUUGGAUAGCUUUGAUAUCAGUGUAGUAAAAUACUGUUCAUCUUCUCUUGUGAAUGUAGAAUCAUUUUCACAUAAGUUUUUAAGGCAUUUAUAGAUUUUACUCAUUCAAGUGUGGAUUCAAGUUGGGGGUAGUCCAGAAAUUGUGGCCCGUUUAGACGCAACCGUUAAAGACUAGGAAAAUCGACAGAAUGAGAUAAUUAAAGGCUUUGUAUCUAUAAAUCCAGACAAUGGAAAACCCAAAUUGAAAAGCCAUUCAAAGGUUUGUUGGGGCAAUUCGUUCUAAGAGGCACGACAUGUUUAGGAAAAAAAAACUCAAUUCAUAGGUGUUUGCUAUGUAAGGGGAUUUGAAGGCAAACAUCGGCAAACAGAUUCUCUGUGUUGUGUCUUUCUAUGUUGUGGCAAGUGGGGGUUUCUUUCUUCAGGCCUUUGGAAUUAGUUUCCUUUAACAGGAGCCUACAAUUUUAACCUUAGUCUUUUCCUUAUGCACCACAGUGAGGAAGCCGCAUGAUAGCAGGGGAUGAUCUUGAUUGUUGGUGUAAUUAUUUUGUAGGUUGUGGGGAUUUGUUUGGCAAGCACAAGGUAUUCUCACUUAAACCUGGUGAAAUCAUUUUAUACGACGUCGGUGGAGAGCAGGGCAUGGAAUUUUGAUCGCUACCUCAUUGUGAGGUGUGGGCGUCUUCUAUUCUAUCUCUCUCAAAGUAAAGCGAUUUACCUCUGCAUGUUUUUGGUCCUGCAAGGAAUUUUUUCAUUAUUAAAUCUUUUCUUGAAGAGCUUUUAUUAAUGCAUUACCUUUUUCUCGAAGAAAACCCUAGCCAAGCGGCUGUCACUUGGCGAGGAAGAGCAUGGCGUUGAGCUUUGGAUUGAAACCCUAAGGAUGCUUGUAUCGCGCUAAAGAUUCAGGUUAUAAGCCUUGAACGAUCGACUGGAAUGCCCAUGCUUUACAUUGUUAAGGCAGGCAAAUUUAUUAGAUGGGGAAGUCCUAUUGCACCUUCAGAGGCAGAAAUUUAUGCAUGCAUGUAUCUAUAAAUGGGUUGCAUUCCCCGUAUUUUGUUAUUUCCUGUCUUAAAUUUAAUGGUUGUAUAAUGUUUCAAUUAUGGAGAUUGAUUGAGGAUGGUGUGUUUGGAGUGAAAUUAAGCCCAUUAUGUCUUGUUUUUCUAGACUUGAACUUUGCAAUUCAUGGGCAUAUACUUUUUGGAUGUAAAUGUAAUUUUCAUAUAUCUAGGGCCAGGCCAUUUAAGGAGCACUAGAGUCUUGAAGACACAAAUCUCUGGUUUCGGAUGCUAAACUUUUUCAUGUGAUGAUACAAAUGUAUUCUAAAGAGUAGUUCUCAUCAAGGGUGAUGACCAUGAACAAAGGAAGGAGCACCACCAUCACCAUGGUCACCAUCAUCGCAAAUCUUAUGAUGAUGAGUGAUCUAGAUGCAGAAGCUUGACUUAAAAAUACUUAAAUUACGAGCAUACUAUUAAUGAGAACAUGACAAAUGAUUUGAGUGCAUACCUUUGCUUAGUGGCAAAUAAAAACUUUAGAGGUAUUACUAAUAUGUAUAUGCGGACAUAGAGCUUUAAGGGUGUUAUUAAGAAGCAUAUGGAGACUAUUUAAGAAGUUUAUAUACGUAGU